ACGCGAAGUGAAAAGUCUGUUGCGAAAGCAAGCUAACCUGGAGGCUACGGCGAGCAAUUUUGAAUUUUACUACCGGGAAGCUACCGCAUACGAUUUGCAAUUUUGAAUCCUACUUCUACCGGUUGACUGAAGUGCUUUCAAUUUUGCCACCUUAGAACUUUAGUUUCCUCAUCUGAAAAGAAGGGAUAAUCACCUAUCUAGAAUUCACGGUGUUAAUCGGAUGCACAUCCUUUUCUAAUUGUAUAUUUUCCAAAUACUUUUUAAUACAUUUUAACCACCACCACUGCCCUCACCGCCUCCACCCGCACCACUGAAAAGCAUGUCUACGGAUUUGCGAGACGCACUGAGUAGAGGCUCUUGCCGCCAAAUCUGACCACCCAAGUUCGAUUCCCCAUACACAAGGUCAUGGAUGGAAGAAGACUGAUUCCUGCAAGUUGUCCUUUGAUCCCCAACAUGCGCACUUGUCACGCGCCCCCUCCCCCAAAUAAAUAAAUAAAUAAAUAAAUAAAUAAAUAAAUAAACGGACGAACGAACGAAUGAAUAAAUACAUGUAUGAAUGAAUAAAAGUUUUGUAUUUUUUGUUUUUCCUUUUUCCUUCCUUCUCUCUCUUUCUUUCUUUCUUUCUUUCUUUCUUUCUUUCUUUCUUUCUUUCUUCCUUUCUUCCUUUCUUCCUUUCUUCCUUUCUUCCUUUCUUCCUUCCUUCCUUCCUUCCUUCCUUCCUUCCUUCCUUCCUUUCUUUCUUUCUUUUUGUUUUUUGUUUUUUGUU
rnacentral:lncRNA from 1 species